rnacentral:rRNA from 1 species
CCUACGGGCGGCAGCAGUGGGGAAUAUUGGACAAUGGGCGAAAGCCUGAUCCAGCCAUGCCGCGUGUGUGAAGAAGGCCUUCGGGUUGUAAAGCACUUUCAGUGGGGAAGAAAGCCUUGGGGCUAAUACCCUCGAGGAAGGACAUCACCCACAGAAGAAGCACCGGCUAACUCCGUGCCAGCAGCCGCGGUAAUACGGAGGGUGCGAGCGUUAAUCGGAAUUACUGGGCGUAAAGCGCGCGUAGGCGGUCUGAUAAGCCGGUUGUGAAAGCCCCGGGCUCAACCUGGGAACGGCAUCCGGAACUGUCAGGCUAGAGUGCAGGAGAGGAAGGUAGAAUUCCCGGUGUAGCGGUGAAAUGCGUAGAGAUCGGGAGGAAUACCAGUGGCGAAGGCGGCCUUCUGGACUGACACUGACGCUGAGGUGCGAAAGCGUGGGUAGCAAACAGGAUUAGAUACCUAGUAGC